rnacentral:rRNA from 1 species
UACGUAAGGAGCAAGCGUUGUCCGGAAUCAUUGGGCGUAAAGCGCGCGUAGGCGGCCCUGUAAGUCCGUUGUGAAAGUCAAAGGCUCAACCUUUGAAAGCCGAUGGAUACUGCAGGGCUAGAGUCCGGAAGAGGCGAGUGGAAUUCCUGGUGUAGCGGUGGAAUGCGCAGAGUAUCAGGAGGAACACCAAUAGCGAAGGCAGCUCGCUGGGACGGUACUGACGCUAAGGCGCGAAAGCGUGGGGAGCGAACAGG